UCUCCGGGAGCUCACUCUAUAAGCAAAUUAGACAACCCCGAUUGCGGGAGUCAGCAGACAGAGUUUACCUCGGCGUGGAAGGGUUUUCUCUCUUUUUUAAAAAGCUGGUAACAGUGGAUUUAAAAACACCCAGAAAACACAGAACUUCACACCCCACCCUAAACACAUUCCUGGAAGUAAUCAUUGUUAACAGCUAGAUGUGCAUUUGGUUUUUCUAUUCACAUAUUAACACACACACCUUUUUAAUUUUUUUUUUGAAGGGAAGCAGCGUCAAAACAAGCCUGUUGAGCUCUCCGCCUCCCCCUCCCCCCCCCCCAGCAGGUGCAGACGUGCCCGCGGGUCCCAGACCCGCCGGCUUCUGGCCACCGUCCCUCUUUCUCUCCCCAACAGGUUCCGUUAAGACCAGCGAGUGGACACGCUCCCCUGCGAGCCCCUGGUUCCGCGGGACGGAUUCCCCACCGUGCGGGUCUCCACCGCUCGCGUAUUUGUGCGCCGUGAAAGCGCUCGCCGACAGCAUUUUCCAGGAGUCCACGCAAAUGAGACCUGUUCCGGACCCUUCCUGAUGCUCCCAGAACACGCUGACUGCGCCCUGCUCCCGACUUCACACGCACCCGUGAAGGUCACCCUGGAUCCUCGGUUUCCCUCACAGACUCCCGGGACGGUGCUUGGCUCAGGUCACUGCCUGUUUGGUCUUAUUUUGACGUAAUCCCAGGGCCAGCAAGGGCUGCAGUCGAGUCGGAGGACCAAUGCGGACUCAUCCGGAAGACUUCAGAGGCCCUGGGUCCGGGGUCUGGGACAUGCCUGGUUCGUGGCCGAUGGAGGCCGUGACACUUGGAAUAAAGAAGCAGAACGGGGGGGCGGGGUAGGUGUGGGGAGCUUGGGCCCCGCCCCCACCCCUGCAUGAAGCUGGCCCAGGCGAGUCCACACCUACGGGGACACAGUUCUGAUGGGCAGGCAGGGGGGCUCCAGCAGAUGCAUGAAGCAGGGCCCGAAGCCCCCUUGCAGCUCUGGACAGGGAGCCGGCUCCUCUAGGCCAGUCCAGCCCCCUCUGGCCGCCGUCUCCGGGCAGAACACCCUGCCUACCCGUCACGGCAGGGGGACACAGCUGGGGCUCUCCACCCCCCUCUCCGGCACAGAUGAGAGCGAGCAAACAUAACCGGCCACCCUGGGGCCACGGGAGGGCCCGGGAGGUGCAGGCGGGACGGCGGGUCACGAGCUGUGCCCUCCUCCAAGUCCCGGCCAUAUUCUCCGGGCCAACUUUGUCCUCCGUGAAAUGUUCUCGUCACACACCACCCACACUCGCUGCUGCAGGACGGAUUCCAGAUCCCCGGCCGGAUCCUGGGAGCACGCAGAGCAGGCCUCAGCAGAGCGGGGAGCGCCCACAAGCCCUUGUGACACUGAGUGCCCCCUGCUACCUGUCACCUCUCGCCAGCUGCCGCUGGCCCUGUCCCUCGUCGGCCCAGCUGCUGACUGUCCCCGGAAGCAGAAAGCCUGCCUGCCCCUCCAAGGGGCUGAGAAAAGGAAUCAACGCUCACCAAAUCUCAAAUCCCCACCUGGCAGAGGCUGUUGGGCGGGAAGUGUUUGCCUCCGGGAAAAAGACAGGCGUCCCUUUUGACGGAAGCCCGCCCCGUCUGUCCUGCCAGUGGGGUCCCUGAACUCGCAGCCCUUGCCGGUCGCCUCACCCGCAGGGAUGCUGCCUAUGCUCCUGCAGGACCUCCGCGGUCUGUCCCUGGCAUAUUCCAGUCCCGCCGGCCCUGUGAGUGAGAGGUUCUGUUCCCCAAACUCAGCCUCUCCUCCUCUCCGACGUCUCUCUCCUGCAGUCAGCGCCCCACGUGGGGUAGUGCACGGAGACGCAGAGCAGAAACCAGAAGGUGCCUCUGGUCAUCGUGAACUCUGCUUUCUUUCUGACCAGCCUUGGAAGCCAGGCCUGGGUUCCCGUCCUCACCGUGGUGACGGUUCUGUUUCCAGUAGAGAAGUCUGCUCUGGGAGGUGUCAGGACCUUCUGGGGGUCUGGUCAGAGUUCCCCUGAGCCUCCAACGAGCCCCAUGGGGCGAGCGCCCCGGAAGUGUGGGGACCGACCCUCCUGUCAUGGCCUCUCAGGCUCCUCAGAGUGGCCACUCGUCCGUCCCCCCCGCUCAUUCAUUCGCUGGUCAUGCCGGUGAAGCCACCACAUCAGCCCUUGGGAGACGCCAGCUUCCUCAGCAGAUUUCCUUCAGAUUAAAUUCACAUCAUACCCAGGGGAAGUCACGGUCUGUGAAAACGACCAGGACUGCCGUGUCCCCGAUGUGAAUUUCAACUCUGUGAUUGACUCUCUCCGACUGUCUCUAAGGGUCUUUUUAGACGGGCUUUGCUCGACUCAAGGCCAGUUGACACAAGCAUGUGGCUAUUAUGUCUCUUGAGUCUCAUUUCACUGUGAGUGUCCCUCCUCCCUUUUGGGGGUGUGGGCUGGGGUGCUUGUUGAGCUCACAGGACCUGAAGACUCUUUCAAUUUGGCCAACCACUUCCUUUUUGUGUUAUUUCAAGUGAUCUGGAGGAUGGAUUCCAUUUCGGUUCACCACCCGGAGCCCCCAAAACUCUGGUUGUCAGGAUGAUGAGUGUGCGGCAUGCUGUGGGCCCAGCCCAUCCGUCCUAACUGUCCCCAUCACCUGCUGGAGGACGGCAGCAGCAUCUGCUGGUGACUGUCCCCUACACCUACCAGUUCACUGGGGAUUGCAAAACAGUGACUGUGUAAUUCUGUCAUUCUUUCUGAAUUUAUAGCCUGGCAGAGUUCUAGAAAGACUUUUUUUUUAAUCAGCCCCUUAGUUACCCUGGAAGGGAAAAGAAGGUCAAUUUUGAUUCCUCCUCCCCUUUUCUCAUCAAUUUUCAGGGGGAUGACUGGGUAUCUUAGCAACCUCCAUGAUUUUAUUUUGUUUUUGAGAACGCUUAUGAAAUUAUGAAAGACUUUCAAUCAAUGCCUGUCACAUUCUCUUUGAUGCAAAACCAGUCUCCCUCAUGCCCGCGUCCCUUUCACUCCGCCACGGGGGUCAGGGCAGCAUCUUCCGUUCCUGGUAGAACCACAUUCCCCAGGAUCGUUUGCAAGGUUCUUGCCUGAAAACCACUUAGCUAUCUUUCAGCUCUGAUUCCUUCCAGAGGCAAAUAGUGUCUGCAGAACAUAAUCCAAGUCUAUCGGUCCACCAUGACCUUAGCCGUCCAUGCUUCUGGACAAUUUUACUGGACGAAGCCAGGAAAUGCAGGUAAGAUGUAUCCUUCAAGAGAAAAAAAAUAUUGGUUUAUACCGUUUCCAAUUCGGAUUUAAGACGGCUGGGUUUCCUGUAACUUCCUUUGUGUUACACUGGCUCCUGUUUUUGGUGGUUCCAGAAAUCUUGACUCCAAGACACCCUCAAAGUGACAAUAUUGCUUCUAACAACAUGACUCCUGACCGCUGUUCAUUUAUACUUAGGAUACGCUCCUCCGGGGGGGUACCAUCAAAAUACCGAAUUUAAAGUCAAUUAUAAUGAUUAUUUUUCUCCUGUGUGUGCCGUCAACUUGAAAUACAGUUUAUUGCAGGUUGUUU